AGCAGCCGCGGUAAUUCCAGCUCCAAUAGCGUAUAUUAAAGUUGUUGCAGUUAAAAAGCUCGUAGUUGAAUUUCGGGGUUAGCAGGUCGGUCGUGCCAUCGGUAUGAACUGGUCUCGCUGAUCCCUCCCUCUUGACGAACUGUGAUGCCAUUAAUUUGGUGUCGCAGGGAAUCAGGACUGUUACUUUGAAAAAUUAGAGUGUUUAAAGCAGGCUCACGCUUGAAUACAUUAGCAUGGAAUAAUGAAAUAGGACGUUUGAUCCUAUUUUGUUGGCUUCUAGGAUUGACGUAAUGAUUAAUAGGGAUAGUUGGGGCAUUAGUAUUCAAUUGUCAGAGGUGAAAUUCUUGGAUUUAUUGAAGACUAACUACUGCGAAAGCAUUUGCCAAGGAUGUUUUCAUUAAUCAAGAAUGAAAGUUAGGGGAUCGAAGACGAUCAGAUACCGUCGUAGUCUUAACCAUAAACUAUGCCGACUAGGGAUCGGAUGAUGUUAAUUUUUAAUG
rnacentral:rRNA from 1 species